UGUAACCAAAGACCAGGAAAAGGCUGAGGUACUUGUACUUUCUUUGCCUCAUCCUGCAACAGCAAGACUGGUUAUCCUCAGGGCAACAUGCUGAGCUGUUAGACAGGGUCUGGGAGCAGAAUAGAACCUCUGCAAUCCAAGAGGAAGCAGCUAGUGACCCACUGCGCCACUUGGACACUCAUGAGUUUUUUGCUGCACUGCCAUCUGUCUCAGCUUCCAGACACUGGUAUUCAGCUGCUUUUCAUCUGAAGGGUAGACACAGCUGGAUAUCAACCCAACAGCCUCAGGGUUACAGACAGAUCCAAGGGACUGUCAAGAAGAAAACCUGAAUUCCAAGAAUGGGAGGAAGCAUUCCAAAGAAUAAAAUACAGACUAUAACAACAACAAAGGACUGCACUGGAGAAAAUAUUGAUGUGGCCUUCACAAAAAAGUUUUGCCUAACAGUUCUGCUGAAGAUAUCUGAAGAAGUCAACGGGCAUGUACUCUAGGAAGCUCUAGGUGGUACAGUCGGCUUGGACCCACACAAGGCAUUUGGCAGAGUCUUGAAGAAAGGACUACUAAAGAAACUUAGCUGCUUUGGAGACAGAGGUAAUCUUCACAUGAAGGUAGCUAAAGAAUAAAGGUUUAGCAAGCAA